UGUUGAAACACGGGUUCCCAUAUGAUCACCGAAGUUAAGCAACAUCAAUCCUGAUCAGUACCUAUAUGGGUGAACGAUUGAGAAUACCAGGUGCUGUAAG